CGAGACACUUCGUGGGUCUCGGCGGCGUCCCGAUGUGAUUUUCGAGACUUCCGACGAGUUACGGAGAUCGGUUGUAAAAAAUUGAUUCCGUGGGAAAUUUUGGAGUUUUUAAGUGAGGUCUUUGAUUCAGUUGGUUUGGGUUCUGAUUCGGUGGACCUGUUAUAGGUCCAAUCGACGGUUCUGCACACCGCGGGAGCUAGGUGCAGCUGCGACACAUGCGGGUACUUCGAUCCGAAAUCGGUUUUGUGGUGCACGCUGGGUGAUG
rnacentral:lncRNA from 1 species